rnacentral:rRNA from 1 species
GUCUUAUUGAUUAUUAUUUUAAGUCUAAUCUGCCCACUGAGGUUUUAAAUGGCCGCGGUAUUUUGACCGUGCAAAGGUAGCAUAAUCAUUAGUUUUUUAAUUGAAAGCUGGUAUGAAGGAUUGAAUGAGAAAAUGACUGUCUCUUUUAUAUUAAUUGAAAUUUAUUUUUAAGUAAAAAAGCUUAAAUAUUAUUUAAAGACGAGAAGACCCUAUAGAGUUUUAUUUUUAUUUUUAUAAAUUUAUUUUAGUAUUUAAUAUAAAUUUAUUAAGAUAAAAUUUGAUUGGGGUGAUUAAAAAAUUUAAUAAACUUUUUUUGUUUAAAAUCAAUAAUUUUUGUUUAUUUGAUCCAUUCUUAAUGAUUAAAAGAUAAAAUUACCUUAGGGAUAACAGCGUAAUUUUUUUUGAAAGUUCUUAUUGAAAAAAAAGUUUGCGACCUCGAUGUUGGAUUAAAAUUAAUUUUUGGUGUAGAAGCUAAGAAUAUUAAGUCUGUUCGACUUUUAAAAUUUUACA